rnacentral:rRNA from 1 species
UACAGAGGUGGCAAGCGUUGUUCGGAAUUACUGGGCGUAAAGGGCGUGUAGGCGGUCUUCUAAGUCAGACGUGAAAUCCCCCGGCUUAACCGGGGAACUGCGUCUGAUACUGGAUGGCUUGAAUCCGGGAGAGGGAUGCGGAAUUCCAGGUGUAGCGGUGAAAUGCGUAGAUAUCUGGAGGAACACCGGUGGCGAAGGCGGCAUCCUGGACCGGCAUUGACGCUGAGGAGCGAAAGCCAGGGGAGCAAAUGGG